AGAGCAAACGGUGGAUGCCUAGGCUUUUGGAGGCGAAGAAGGACGUGGUAAGCUGCGAUAAGCUGUGUAGAUUUGCAAACAGGAUUUGACACACAGAUUUCCGAAUGGGGCAACCCAACACGCAAGUGUUACCCUGGAAAGGGAGCUAACCCAGAGAACUGAAACAUCUCAGUACCUGGAGGAAAAUAAAGAAAAAUCGAUUCCCUUAGUAGUGGCGAGCGAACAGGGAAUAGCCCAAACCAAUGUUGUUUCGGCAAUGUUGGGGUUGUAGGACUGUUAUAAAUAGUAAAAAUGAGAAGAGGAAUGUUUUUGGAAAAUUACAACCAAAGAGAGUGAAAGUCUCGUACUUGUAAUUAUUUUUACUUAGACAGUAUCCUGAGUAGGGCGGGACACGUGUAAUCCUGUCUGAAUCCGCGGGGCCCAUCCCGCAAGGCUAAAUACUCCCAAAAGACCGAUAGUGUACCAGUACUGUGAAGGAAAGGUGAAAAGUACUCCAAAUAGGAGAGUGAAAAAGACCCUGAAACCGUUUGCUUACAAGCGGUCGGAGCAGACAAGUUCUGUGACGGCGUGCCUUUUGCAUAAUGAGCCUACGAGUUGCUCCUCUGUAGCAUGGUUAAGUGAUUCAGUCACGGAGCCGUAGCGAAAGCGAGUCUUAAUAGGGCGAAACAAAUAGUUACAGGGGGCAGACGCGAAACUUUGUGAUCUACCCAUGACCAGGUUGAAGUGUGAGUAACAUCUCAUGGAGGACCGAACCCGUUUACGUUGAAAAGUAUUGGGAUGAGUUGUGGGUAGGGGUGAAAGGCUAAUCAAACUGAGAAAUAGCUCGUACUCCCCGAAAUGUUUUUAGGAACAGCCUCAUAUUAGCUUAACGGAGGUAGAGCUACCAAUUGGAUGCGAGGGCUUCACCGCCUAUCAAAUUCUGAUGAACUCCGAAUGCCGUUAAGUGAUUUAUGGGAGUGAGCCGCCGGGUGCUAAUGUCCGGUGACGAAAGGGAAACAACCCAGACCAUCUGCUAAGGUCCCCAAGGAUAUGCUAAGUUAAAAAAACGUUGUGUUGUUGCAGCGACAGCUAGGAUGUUGGCUUGGAAGCAGCCAUUCAUUUAAAGAGUGCGUAACAGCUCACUAGUCGAGCGACAAUGCGUGGAUAAUAAUCGGGUAUCAAGCAUAUCACCGAAGCAAUGGAUUGUUGUAUUAAUUUACAACAGUGGUAGGGGAGCAUUCUGCCGACGUAGAAGGAUAACCGUGAGGUUUACUGGAGUUUGUAGAAAAGCAAAUGUAGGCAUAAGUAACGAUAAAGUGGGCGAGAAACCCACUCACCGAAAGACUAAGGUUUCCUGAUCAACGCUAAUCGGAUCAGGGUUAGUCGGGACCUAAGGCGUAGCCUAAAGGCGAAGUCGAUGGAUAGUCAGUUAAUAUUCUGACACUAGAUGAUACUGCGAUGGACGGACGGAGUAGUGAAAGGUCUGCGUGAAUACGGAUUGUCACGUUGAAGAUUUUAGGUAUAUUGGAAGGUUAAUAGCCUUUUGAUGCUGAAGAUCGAUAGUACUAAGCGGAUUAUUCCAAUUAGAUAUGACCCUAAUCAGACUUCCAAGAAAAUGUUCUAAGCUUCAGGUAUUAUUUACCCGUACCGUAAACCGACACAGGUAGUCGAGGAGAGAAUCCUAAGGUGCUCGAGUGAAUCAUGGCUAAGGAAUUCGGCAAAUUAACCCUGUAACUUCGGGAAAAAGGGUCCCCAUGUAAGUGGGGCGCAGAGAAUUGGUCCAGGCGACUGUUUAACAAAAACACAUGGCUUUGCUAAAUCGAAAGAUGACGUAUAAGGCCUGACACCUGCCCGGUGCUGGAAGGUUAAGAGGGGAUGUCAAGCGCAAGCUGAAGCAUUGAAUCGAAGCCCCAGUAAACGGCGGCCGUAACAAUAACGGUCCUAAGGUAGCGAAAUUCCUUGUCGGGUAAGUUCCGACCUGCACGAAUGGUGUAACGAUCUGGACACUGUCUCAGCCAUGAGCUCGGUGAAAUUGUAGUCACGGUGAAGAUGCCGUGUACCCGCAACGGGACGAAAAGACCCCGUGCACCUUUACUGCAACUUAGCACUGUUUUUGGGUCAACGAUGUGUAGGAUAGGUGGGAGACUAUGAAGUGGCGUCGCUAGGCGUUGUGGAGUCACCGUUGAAAUACCACCCUUCGUUUAUUUGAAAUCUAACCUUUAACAAGGGACACUGCUUGGUGGGUAGUUUGACUGGGGUGGUCGCCUCCAAAAGAGUAACGGAGGCUUCCCAAGGUGCCCUCAGUACGGAUGGUAACCGUACGUAGAGUAUAUUGGUAUAAGGGCGCUUGACAGUGAGACCAACAAGUCGAUCUGGUGCGAAAGCAGGGCAAAGUGAUCCGGUGGUUCCGUAUGGAAGGGCCAUCGCUCAAAGGAUAAAAGGUACGCCGGGGAUAACAGGCUGAUCGCUCCCAAGAGCUCAUAUCGACGGAGCGGUUUGGCACCUCGAUGUCGGCUCGUCACAUCCUGGGGCUGUAGUCGGUCCCAAGGGUUCGGCUGUUCGCCGAUUAAAGUGGCACGCGAGCUGGGUUCAGAACGUCGUGAGACAGUUCGGUCUCUAUCUGUUGUGGGCGUUGGAAACUUGAGAAGGUCUGUUCCUAGUACGAGAGGACCGGAGUGGACGAACCUCUGGUGUACCGGUUGUGGCUCCAGCUGCAUCGCCGGGUAGCUACGUUCGGUUUGGAUAAGUGCUGAAAGCAUCUAAGCACGAAGCCAGCUUCAAGAUGAGGUUUCCCUUGAGGGUCGUGGAAGACUACCACGUUGAUAGGUUGU
rnacentral:rRNA from 1 species